rnacentral:rRNA from 1 species
CCUACGGGUGGCAGCAGUAGGGAAUCUUCCACAAUGGGCGAAAGCCUGAUGGAGCAACGCCGCGUGGGUGAAGAAGGUCUUCGGAUCGUAAAACCCUGUUGUUAGAGAAGAAAGUGCGUGAGAGUAACUGUUCACGUUUCGACGGCAUCUAACCAGAAAGCGACGGCUAACUACGUGCCAGCAGCCGCGGUAAUACGGAGGUGGCAAGCGUUAUCCGGAUUGAUUGGGCGUAAAGGGAGCGAAGGCGGGCUUUUAAGCCUGAUGUGAAAGCCUUCGGCUUAACCAGAGUAGUGCAUUGGAAACUGGGAGACUUGAGUGCGGGAGAGGAAAGUGGAACUCCAGGUGUAGCGGUGAAAUGCGUAGAUAUAAGGAAGAACACCAAUGGCGAAAGCGGCUCUCUGGUCUGUAACUGACGCUGAGGUUCGAAAGCGUGGGUAGCAAACAGGAUUAGAUACCCCAGUAGUC